rnacentral:rRNA from 1 species
UGACCUCAGAUCAGGUAGGACUACCCGCUGAA